GUAUGAAAUUCGACCCCUACCUUCAGCUCGCAGGUUUGUUUUGAUUUCCAGAAAACGAGGUUAUUGUUGCAAAGAGAAACAAACAACCUGCAGACCGUUAGAGAAUUGUCACAACAAAGUGCUCCAUAUGUGUGCAUGAAUUUGCGAAUCUAGCGAGAGAGUAGUUUGUGCUUCGGCACUUUCCUACAUCAAAAUGGCUCAUCUUAAAGAAAUGCUCAAAAAGUGUUCUUUAAAUGACAAGAAGCCAGUGACAGAAACUGAAGAGGAGCUUUUCAUGAAAUUCUACAAUGAAUGGAAAAGAGCAUCGGGUCCAGUAGACUCUUCUUACAACUCAAUCCCUAGGUUUUACUUCAAAUUACCAAGUGAGGAUGAAGUUCUUCCACAAAAAUUGCGUGAGGAGGCUCGUGCCAUGUUUUUACAGAGGAGAAGCCGCCAAUUACUCGAUAAUAAUGAGCUAAAAGCUCUAUGGGUGCUUCUUGACAAAAACCACAGUGCUCCGCAUGCAACAGACAAGCAGCUUAUUAAUUAUGAAGACUUCCUUAAAGUUGCGGCAGAAGCAGGGCCAAAGUGCAAGAGUUAUUUGACACCAAGUGUCUUUGCAAAGUUGCAAUUAAAAGAACCUCAUGGCAGAAUAAGUAUUAUGGCCCUUUUUAAUUAUGUUAUGCGUAAAGUAUGGCUUCAUCAGACCAGAAUUGGGCUGUCACUGUAUGAUGUCACAGGUCAGGGCUAUUUACGCGAAUCUGACCUUGAAAAUUACAUCCUGGAGUUAAUUCCUACAUUACCUCAACUUGAUGGAUUAGAGAAGUCUUUUCACAGCUUCUAUGUUUGCACAGCAGUACGGAAGUUUCUCUUCUUUUUAGAUCCUUUACACACAGGGCGUGUGCGAAUUCAAGAUAUUCUCGCAUGCAGCUUUCUAGAUGAUUUAUUAGAGUUACGUGAUGAAGACUUGCCUAAGGACCUUCAAGAGGCCAAUUGGUUCUCUGCCCCAUCUGCACUACGUGUAUAUGGUCAAUAUCUCAACCUGGAUCGUGAUCACAAUGGGAUGCUUAACAAGGAAGAGCUUGCUGGAUAUGGCACAGGCACAUUAACAACUGUCUUUUUAGAGAGAGUAUUUCAAGAAUGCCUCACAUAUGAUGGAGAAAUGGAUUAUAAAACAUAUCUGGAUUUUGUAUUAGCAUUAGAAAAUCGACAUGAGCCACAAUCAUUACAUUAUCUUUUUAGAAUAUUGGACAUAAACAAUCAAGGUUAUCUAGAUACUUUUUGUUUGAAUUUUUUCUUCAGAGCUAUUCAAGAACAGAUGUCAGUCCAUGGUCAGGAACCAGUCAAUUUUGAAGAUGUAAAGGAUGAAAUAUUUGAUAUGGUUAAACCUCAGGAUCCAACAAGAAUAACUUUGCAAGACCUUUUAAAUUGUGGACAAGGACACACAAUGGUCAGCAUACUCAUUGAUCUAAAUGGGUUUUGGAAUUAUGAAAAUAGAGAGGCAAUGGCUGCUGAUACUGACACUGCAGAUGAGUCUGCUGAGGUGUGACAAGAAAGAAAAAAAGAGGAAGGAAGAGAAAGCACCAACCAUCAAAGUGGGCAGAUCUCAAAUUCAACAUAAGGGUUGCAUCAAGAAACCUAUCUGACUAGCUAAAAGAUCAAUAGAAAUGUUGCAACAAUUGUAUGCGUCUAGAUAAAUCAAUUUUGGCAGAAGUUGAGGCAGAUGGUUCAAGUAGUCUUUUCCAGUUGGCUGAGGCAGGUGGCUCAUCUUAAGAGUGUGAAGAUUGGAACAAAAUUGGAAAAUGCUGGCCAGUCCAUUGUCAGUUAUCAAGUGACAGCUGCUAAUAUCCAAAGUUUCCACUUGUGAGCACCUAGAAACAUUUUCCAAUUAAUUUGAAUUCUCCUAAACCCUCUUAAGUAGAAUUACCUGAGCUCCCCUCCAUGCUUUACUUACUUGAUACUAAUUUCUUGUAUCACUUCAUCAUUGAGAUUUGGACAGUCAAAGAAGUCUAGAUGUUUCAAAUGAGGGAAGUUUGAGUUGU
rnacentral:misc_RNA from 1 species